rnacentral:rRNA from 1 species
AUACGUAGGGGGCGAGCGUUGUCCGGAAUGAUUGGGCGUAAAGGGCGCGUAGGCGGCCCGGUAAGUCUGGAGUGAAAGUCCUGUUUUUAAGAUGGGAAUUGCUUUGGAUACUGUCGGGCUUGAGUGCAGGAGAGGUAAGUGGAAUUCCCAGUGUAACGGUGAAAUGCGUAGAGAUUGGGAGGAACACCAGUGGCGAAGGCGACUUACUGGACUGUAACUGACGCUGAGGCGCGAAAGUGUGGGGAGCAAACAGGAUUAGAUACCCUGGUAGUCCACACUGUAAACGAUGAAUGCUAGGUGUAGGGGGUAUCGACCCCUUCUGUGCCGCAGUCAACACAAUAAGCAUUCCGCCUGGGGAGUACGGCCGCAAGGUUGAAACUCAAAGGAAUUGACGGGG